AGGUUAAGUUAACAAGGGCGCAUGGUGAAUGCCUUGGCACUAGGAGCCGAUGAAGGACGGGACUAACACCGAUAUGCUUCGGGGAGCUGUACGUAAGCUAUGAUCCGGAGAUUUCCGAAUGGGGCAACCCAGCAGUUUUAAUCAACUGUUACCACUAGAUGAAUUCAUAGUCUAGUUGGAGGUAAACGCUGUGAACUGAAACAUCUCAUUAGCAGCAGGAAUAUAAAGAAAUUUCGAUUCCCUAAGUAGCGGCGAGCGAACGGGGAACAGCCCAAACCAAAGUGCUUGCACUUUGGGGUUGUAGGACUGAACAUUUGAGUUACCAAAGAACUUGAUAGUCGAAGGAUUUGGGAAAAUCCGCCAUAGAUGGUGAUAGCCCAGUAGAUUAAAUCAAAUUCUCUCAGUUCAGGAUCCUGAGUACGGCGGAACACGUGAAAUUCCGUCGGAAUCCGGGAGGACCAUCUCCCAAGGCUAAAUACUACCUAGUGACCGAUAGUGAACCAGUACCGUGAGGGAAAGGUGAAAAGCACCCGGGAGGGGAGUGAAAUAGUUCCUGAAACCAUGUGCCUACAAUAAGUCAGAGCGCGUUAAUGCGUGAUGGCGUGCCUUUUGUAGAAUGAACCGGCGAGUUAUGAUCCCGUGCAAGGUUAAGACUAAAAAGUCGGAGCCGUAGCGAAAGCGAGUCUGAAAUGGGCGUUUUGAGUACGAGGUUAUAGACCCGAAACCAGGUGACCUAUCCAUGUCCAGGUUGAAGGUGCGGUAAAACGCACUGGAGGACCGAACCCGUGUAAGUUGAAAAUUGCUGGGAUGAGGUGUGGAUAGCGGUGAAAUUCCAAACGAACUUGGAGAUAGCUGGUUCUCUCCGAAAUAGCUUUAGGGCUAGCCUCGGAAUUAGGAUCAUGGAGGUAGAGCACUAUUUGGACUAGGGGCCCGUCUUGGGUUACUGAAUUCAGAUAAACUCCGAAUGCCAUUGAUUCAUAUCCGGGAGUCAGACGAUGAGUGAUAAGAUCCACCGUCGAAAGGGGAACAGCCCAGACCAUCAGUUAAGGUCCCUAAAUGUAUGCUAAGUGGAAAAGGAUGUGGAGUUGCAUAGACAACUAGGAUGUUGGCUCAGAAGCAGCCACCAUUUAAAGAGUGCGUAAUAGCUCACUAGUCGAGUGAUCCUGCGCCGAAAAUGUACCGGGGCUAAGCAUACUACCGAAACCAUGGAUGCGACCAUUAGGUCGCGUGAUAGGAGAGCGUUCUAAGGGCGGUGAAGCAAGAUCGUGAGGACUUGUGGAGCGCUUAGAAGUGAGAAUGCCGGUAUGAGUAGCGAAAGAUAGGUGAGAAUCCUAUCCACCGAAUGACUAAGGUUUCCUGGGAAGGCUCGUCCUCCCAGGGUUAGUCGGGACCUAAGUCGAGGCCGAGAGGCGUAGACGAUGGAUAACAGGUUGAGAUUCCUGUACUAGUUAAGUGCGUUUGAGCAAUGGAGGGACGCAGGAGGCUAAGAUGUGCAUUCUGUUGGAUUAGAAUGUCCAAGCAGUAAGUCUUGUGAAGAGUCAAAUGCUUUUCACUUUAAGGACAAGCUGUGAUGGGGAGCGAAAUUUAGUAGCGAAGCGUCUGAUGUCACACUGCCGAGAAAAGCUUCUAGUGAGUACUUAACUACCCGUACCGCAAACCGACACAGGUAGUCGAGGAGAGAAUCCUAAGGUGAGCGAGUGAACUCUCGUUAAGGAACUCGGCAAAAUGACCCCGUAACUUCGGGAGAAGGGGUGCUGAUCGCAAGAUCAGCCGCAGUGAAUAGGCCCAGGCGACUGUUUAUCAAAAACACAGGUCUCUGCAAAAUCGUAAGAUGACGUAUAGGGGCUGACGCCUGCCCGGUGCUGGAAGGUUAAAAGGAUGGGUUAGCUUCGGCGAAGCUCAGAAUUGAAGCCCCAGUAAACGGCGGCCGUAACUAUAACGGUCCUAAGGUAGCGAAAUUCCUUGUCGGGUAAGUUCCGACCCGCACGAAAGGCGUAACGAUCUGGGCACUGUCUCAACGAGAGACUCGGUGAAAUUAUAUUGUCCGUGAAGAUGCGGACUACCCGCGACAGGACGGAAAGACCCCAUGGAGCUUUACUGUAGCUUGAUAUUGAGUGUUUGUACAGCUUGUACAGGAUAGGUAGGAGCCAUAGAAACCGGAACGCUAGUUUCGGUGGAGGCGUUGGUGGGAUACUACCCUCGCUGUAUGACCACUCUAACCCGCACCACUAAUCGUGGUGGGAGACAGUGUCAGGUGGGCAGUUUGACUGGGGCGGUCGCCUCCUAAAAAGUAACGGAGGCGCCCAAAGGUUCCCUCAGAAUGGUUGGAAAUCAUUCGCAGAGUGUAAAGGCACAAGGGAGCUUGACUGCGAGACAGACAGGUCGAGCAGGGACGAAAGUCGGGCUUAGUGAUCCGGUGGUACCGUAUGGAAGGGCCAUCGCUCAACGGAUAAAAGCUACCCUGGGGAUAACAGGCUUAUCUCCCCCAAGAGUCCACAUCGACGGGGAGGUUUGGCACCUCGAUGUCGGCUCAUCGCAUCCUGGGGCUGUAGUCGGUCCCAAGGGUUGGGCUGUUCGCCCAUUAAAGCGGUACGCGAGCUGGGUUCAGAACGUCGUGAGACAGUUCGGUCCCUAUCCGUCGCGGGCGUAGGAAAUUUGAGAGGACCUGUCCUUAGUACGAGAGGACCGGGAUGGACAUACCUCUGGUGUACCAGUUGUGCCGCCAGGCGCAUCGCUGGGUAGCUACGUAUGGAUGUGAUAAACGCUGAAAGCAUCUAAGUGUGAAACACACCUCGAGAUGAGAUUUCCCAUUCCUUUAUGGAAGUAAGACCCCUGAAAGAUGAUCAGGUAGAUAGGUUAGAAGUGGCAGUGCGGUGACGCAUGAAGCGGACUAAUACUAAUCGGUCGAGGACUUAACCAAG
rnacentral:rRNA from 2 species